rnacentral:lncRNA from 1 species
UUUUUUUUUUUUUUUUUUUUUUUGUCGUCACACCUUCUUUGUCUUAGAUGCCAGAAAUCCAUCUUGAAGAGGAUAAGCAAAGCAUCCUGCCAUGUGCACACCCAGGGCCGGCUCCCCCCAUAAAUCCUGCUGGCAUACCCCGAUUACUUACCAUAAUCUGGCAGUUGUGCCCAGGUCAACAGCACCUGGAUUGCAUUAUGCUGCAGGCGAAAUUCACUGCAGACCAGGUCCUCCUGAGGCCUGCAAUUGGAUCUUCAAGCUAGAAAGGCCUGGUGUGAAUACCAGGGUAUGAGGGCUGGGGGAGACAGUCUCCAGAAUUGAGAGGUGAUCACAGUAUAUAUGGUGAGGGAGUGGGAAAGUAAGACAGGAAGAGGACGGAAGCACAAAGCACACACGUGAUCUGGUCUGGCCAAUAAGAGGCGGUCUCAGAUGACUGGUGCAAGGAUGCACACGUGACACCAGAGACUGGCCAAUGAAACUCAACCCUGGGACAUUCUCUGCAGCCCUGAGGUGGCUCAGAUGAAAGAUGAAUGUCCCUGCUGGUAACAUCUCUGCCAUCAUUUGAAGAAAGUCUGCCAAAGGGUGAGUCUGCUCCAGAGGAAAACAGAGCCAAGAAACAGAGAGAAAACGGUUCCUGAUAACAUUGUCGAGCACGUGGACUCAGCCCUGCUGGAAACGAGAUACCAUGAGCUUUUCAGUGAUGUGAUCAAAUAAAUUUCCCUUUUUAGCCUAAAGCUCCCUCAGUUGAACUUCUGACACUUAUAUCCCUGGGAAUAAAGGAAAGUAUGAUCACCCCAAUGCACCCCUUGGAGCCCAUCCUACCCUGUCAUCCAUGUAGAGCUAGACGGCACAGCUCUACGAGCACAUAUGUUGUAAUUUUUAGGUUAACAAGCCAAACUUUCCUUGAGUGAAUGCUUCUGAAGGUAUGAACAAUAUUUCUCAUUCAUUCAUGCCUUCUGUAAACAUUUGGUGAAUGCCUUAUAUGUGCCCAACCUUGUGCCAAGUACUGGGGGUAUAGAAAUUAACUAAGCACCAUCCACAUCUCCAGUCCUGGUAGAGGAGAGGAGAAAUGCAAAGAGAGACAGACUGCUGAACACAGAGACGUGGGUUCUCAUCCCAGCUCCCUCUCAAACUACACAUAGAAGAGGACUCUACCCAAAACUCAUGGGUAGAGUGAGUUUCCCCCAUGCUGAAGGAAACACUCUACCUCAACAGGCUCCAGGGAAUUUUCAAGACCAGAGAGUGUCCCAGAGUUUGAGCCAAGAUGUGCAACUAAGUAUAGAUUCAUUCUAUUUGAUCAGAAACCAUCAGGAAUUAAUUUACAGCGUAAGGUGAACAUAAAUAAAGUCAUAUCCAGGCCAGGGUUCUUAAGAAAAGGGCAGGCCUUGCCCUUAUUCUUUGCCCUUAUUCUUUCUUCUGCCAGUUGGAAACAGGACAGUGUGACCAUGAAGAGUGGAAGAGUCACAAUGUGCCAGAAGCCUGGGUCCCUGAAUCACUACAGGAGGAAGGCUGUUCCUCUACAGAAACAGUUACUCGAAUAAGAAACCAACUUCUCUAUUGUGUUAAACCACCGAAAUUCUGGGGCUUCUUUGUUACGGCAUCUACCAUGCUCUUUACAUCCUUUGAAUUAGAAUGUGCUUCACCCAUCCCACACAGAUGGAUUACCUGCUAUUCUUCAAAACCAAGAGAAAGGGAUUUUUCAGCUUUAUUUGAUAAGCAUUCUCAUUAAUAUUUUCCAGGAAUCUGUUCAUGUCUACAGGUCAGCAUCCGUGCCUUAUUCAUUUCUGUAGCUUUUACACAUUGCACAAAUAGCAGGUUUAACAGAAAAGGGAACAGCUUGUUGAGGGAAGGAAGGAAGGAAGGCUUUCUUUUUGUCUAACCCAGGGCUAGGGGCCAUUUUACCCACAGAGGACAUCUGGCAACUCCUGGAGGCAUUUUUUGGUUGUCACAGCCAGGGAUCAUUACUGGGCAGAGGCCAGAGGUACUGAGAAACCGCUCAUAAUACACAGUACAGUCCCCAUGACAAAGAAUUUCCUGCUCAAAUGUCCAUAGUACCAAGGGUGAAAAACCCCGGUGUAACCUGAGGUUACCUCCUUACAGCCCCAACUUGAUCAAAUAAUCAUUUCAUCACUUUUUCAGGCCUCCUUCUCUUACUGAACUCUGCUAGGUCCUGAUGCCAGUGGACACUUUUUCUAAUCUUCUUAAUUCACAAGACAUCAAUUUUCUAGAUGUGUCAGAAUAUUGCCUCUUGAUUCAAUUACUCUCUUUUUUAAAAUUCAUUAAGUGAAAGAGAAUGGGAGGGAAGAGACAGACACACACAGAGAGAUGGGGAGUAGUGAGCAGACCAGAAAGACUCCACAUUUAAACACAAAAGAAAACAGAUCUUCUGUCUGAAAUAUACUCAUGAUCUCUCUCUCUCUUUUCAUCUCCCUCUUCCUAUGCAGGGGCUGCCAAGAAAAGAGACUCAUGCCAGUUAGUUAAAAAAAUAAAAACAAAAAAACAGCAACUGUUGGAGUUCCCGUCGUGGCGCAGUGGUUAACGAAUCCGACUAGGAACCAUGAGGUUGUGGAUUCGAUCCCUGGCCUUGCUCAGUGGGUUAAGGAUCCCGCAUUGCCAGGAGCUGUGAUGUAGGCUGCAGAUGUGGCUCGGAUCCCGUGUUACUGUGGCUCUGGCGUAGGCCGGUGGCUACAGCUCCAAUUGGAGCCCUAGCCUGGGAAUCUCCAUAUGCCACAGGAAGCGACCCUAGAAAAGGCAAAACAAACAAACAAACAAACAAAAAAUCAACUGUUUAUUGUAAGGACACUUGCAGACUGCCACUAGAAAGCUUUCACAUUCUUAUCCUCUCUCUACCUCUAUCUCUCUGCAUGGUCUCUCACUUCUGCCCCCACCCCCGGAGUCUUCACUCUGCUGUCCCCACCCACAGAAUUCCCUUGAUCAGCUUUUCAUGGCAUCCUUUCAGCUCCCAUAUCAACCAGGCUAACUGAAAAAUCCUAUCCAACUUCCAACACACAACCCCACACUCAAGUCCAUCUUUGCAAGCCCAGCCACAAAAGUCUUCAGUCAUCAGACAGCCUAUGGAUUGGCUGCACUUUAAUCAAUCUAAAACUCUGGCCAAACCAGCCCUGCUCAGGAAGAAGGGGUGGAGCCUCAGGAAGCAGGGGCUGUGAGCAGGCAACCAUGGCAACUGGCCUCCCUGGUUCUCUGUCUCAGACAUACCCCUGCCCUCCAUCCCAAGUGAUGUCAGCCACGGCGUUUAACUGAGCUCCCAGGAGAACAAAACUACCUCCAAGGACCCAGGAGGCCGUCCUUGCAUGGGCUUGCACCCCUGCUGGGGGAAGGUCACCCAUCCCAUCUGGGAACACUUUUUUAGAGGAUCCCAACUCUUGGUCCUCAGUUUUAGCAGCUGUGAAAGGAAAGAAGAUGGGGCUUUUAAGAAUAACACUGAGAUUACCCCACAGAUAGCUUCCUCCACCAGAAUCGCUCAAAACAACAUCACCCAGCAGUGGCUGGGAUCCACAUCUCAUUCUGGAUAUCAGGCAGCUCUCAAGAAACUGAGGAACACAAAAGCACAAGUUCAUCCAUUUCCAGAAAACGCCAAUGCGAGAGGCUUCCAACACAAACAGGGUCACGGGCUGGGUCCAGCCGCAUUUCUUGAGCUUCCAGGCCCCUCCGCCUGAGUCAAAAUCAUUAUGCUGUUUCCUUCACUGCACAGGAACGUGGGGGUUUCUCUAAACUAUGACUCAUGCAAAGCACAGAGGCGAACAUGAUGAGAAACCUGUUUUCUCUGAAAAAGGAGAGUGGGCAAUUACUAAAACUUUUGACACUUUAAUACAGCACUGGCCUUGGCUAAUUUUGCUCACUAUGAAAGAUUUCAAACACCGGAAACACUGUGAGGCAAAAAGAGGGGGAGAAAAGUGAAAUGUGCAUAAAAUCCCACACAGCCUUACAAACAAGAGUGAAAUGUGGUUUAAUUAAAGUAAAAAGUUGCUUCUAGGCUCCUGAAAACACUUUUCAUAAAAACUUCAUGUCAAAUGAGCUUCGGUCCAGUCCAGCUGGAGUUCAUUCAACGCCCUUUCUUUGGGGCUUUACCAGCUGUGACAUGGGUAACCUGUUGACAAAUAUGCUAUUUUUCCAGCAGCACCCACAUACACAAGACCUUAAGCAGCAAAAUCCCCUAAUGAUAUUUGGCCCCAAGUCAGAAUGCAUUAUGCACCUCCUGUAGUCAGAGCCAAAAAAUCUCAGAAGAAACCUUGGCACCAUGCAAAAGGUCCCUUUUUAGCAUCAGCUGUCCCCUUUGCAGUUUGUUAAAGCUGGAGGAGUAUUAAUCCAGGUGAAAUCUCAUUCGGGAGACUCUUGGUAAGGAAGCUACAAGAAGGGGUGGGAGGGGACGGCUGCACGGGGAAGGAACACUGCAGCAGGUUAGGCUAUUCAGAACGAGCUAUUUUCUCCCAAAUCCUGUAAUUGCCUGGAGCAUGUGAUCUUCUUGAAGGUCAUUAAAGACAUGCUGCUGUCAGAUUCCUCCCAGAAAGUUCCUGCUUUGAUUAGUUUGCCAAUGCUUAUUUCCUAAAAGGCUCUUUUUGUCCCUUGGAGAAGAAAAAAAAAAAAAUGAGGAGCAUUAAAAUUUCAAAAAAGGAAUUAGAUGAAUAACCUGCUAAAUGUAGCCCAAAAAGAUGAAAGGAAAUAGCAACGAUGAAAAUGGCCCUGACCUUCCUGGGGUCCCUGCUGGAUGGAUGCUGCAUGGUCAGCCAAUCCCCUUCCCGGAAAAGGAGGUGACUCGGGGGUGCGCAACGUCAAUCAUCUUCUACGCAACUGCUCAGCCUUUGACCUGAACACGACCACAUAUAUCAUUGGUAAAGCCCGCAUGAGCAUCCUAUGGCCUUGGGGGCAUUUAUAGACCCCAAAAGGUUAAAAACAAAAACAAAAACCUCUCCUUGUCUGUAAGCAUUCAGGUGUGUAGAGAAGAAUCUUCCAGGACUUAGUGGAAUGAACAAGCGGAGCUGUCCAGCGACAAUGAUUAAACCUAGCUCACAAUGCCAGGGUUUUUCAAAUUAAAGAAGGAAAUCAAAGUAUUUCCCCCCAACACAAUAAGAUGGAGCCAGUUUUUCUUGUAUCAAAGGCCCCUUUUGUCCUCACCACAUCUGCAGAUUUGUGUGAGUCACAGGCAGGCCUGAUGCCGUCAUUAUCUUCCCAAUCCAUAGACACACUGGUUGCCAAAACUUCGCCUGCAAUCCGGAC